UACGGGGGGGGUAAGCGUUGUUCGGAAUUACUGGGCGUAAAGGGCGCGUAGGCGGCCUGUUAAGUCGAACGUGAAAUCCCCAGGCUCAACCUGGGAACUGCGUCCGAUACUGGCAGGCUUGAAUCCGGGAGAGGGAUGUGGAAUUCCAGGUGUAGCGGUGAAAUGCGUAGAUAUCUGGAGGAACACCGGUGGCGAAGGCGGCAGCCUGGACCGGUAUUGACGCUGAGGCGCGAAAGCCAGGGGAGCAAACGGG
rnacentral:rRNA from 1 species